ensembl:lncRNA
UUCUGUGUUCCUUCCAAUAAACAGAAAGCUCCAGUGAUUUUGCAGCGUUGUUUUGACGAUCCAGAGAAACACUCAGAAGAACCUACAGAAAGAGUACUACCACCAAUGUCCAAAACAUUACAAAGGUAAGGCUCUUCUAAAUAUUUCAGUGUUUCAGUAAAUAUUUCAGUGUUAAGUCACUGUACUAUAAAUGUUGGCACUAUUAAAACUU